GGAGUGGUUGAAAUUCAGUGGUAAAGCUCGGCAUGCAGAAGGUCCCAGGUUAAAUCCCUGGCAUCUCCA
rnacentral:tRNA from 1 species